rnacentral:rRNA from 1 species
GAGUUUGAUCCUGGCUCAGGACGAACGCUGGCGGUAUGCCUAAUACAUGCAAGUCGAACGCUGAAGCACUCUGCUUGCAGAGUGUGGAUGAGUGGCGAACGGGUGAGUAACACGUGGGGAACCUGCCCAUAAGAGGGGGAUAACAUCCGGAAACGGAUGCUAAUACCGCAUAGGUGAUCAUAGCGCAUGCUUAGAUCAUUAAAGAUGGCUUCGGCUAUCGCUUAUGGAUGGCCCCGCGGCGUAUUAGCUAGUUGGUGAGGUAAUGGCUCACCAAGGCUGUGAUACGUAGCCGACCUGAGAGGGUGAUCGGCCACACUGGAACUGAGACACGGUCCAGACUCCUACGGGAGGCAGCAGUAGGGAAUCUUCCACAAUGGGCGAAAGCCUGAUGGAGCAACACCGCGUGAGUGAAGAAGGUCUUCGGAUCGUAAAGCUCUGUUGUUAGAGAAGAACAAGAGGUGUAGUAACUGGCAUCUCCUUGACGGUAUCUAACCAGAAAGUCACGGCUAGCUACGUGCCAGCAGCCGCGGUAAUACGUAGGUGACAAGCGUUGUCCGGAUUUAUUGGGCGUAAAGCGAGCGCAGGCGGUCUUUUAAGUCUGAUGUGAAAGCCCACGGCUCAACCGUGGAGGGUCAUUGGAAACUGGAAGACUUGAAUGCAGAAGAGGAAAGUGGAAUUCCAUGUGUAGCGGUGAAAUGCGUAGAUAUAUGGAGGAACACCAGUGGCGAAAGCGACUUUCUGGUCUGUAAUUGACGCU